rnacentral:rRNA from 1 species
GCACAAUGGGCGAAAGCCUGAUGCAGCGACGCCGCGUGAGGGAUGACGGCCUUCGGGUUGUAAACCUCUUUCAGCAGGGAAGAAGCGAAAGUGACGGUACCUGCAGAAGAAGCGCCGGCUAACUACGUGCCAGCAGCCGCGGUAAUACGUAGGGCGCGAGCGUUGUCCGGAAUUAUUGGGCGUAAAGAGCUCGUAGGCGGCUUGUCACGUCGGAUGUGAAAGCCCGGGGCUUAACCCCGGGUCUGCAUUCGAUACGGGCAGGCUAGAGUUCGGUAGGGGAGAUCGGAAUUCCUGGUGUAGCGGUGAAAUGCGCAGAUAUCAGGAGGAACACCGGUGGCGAAGGCGGAUCUCUGGGCCGAUACUGACGCUGAGGAGCGAAAGCGUGGGGAGCGAACAGGAUUAGAUACCCUGGUAGUCCACGCCGUAAACGUUGGGAACUAGGUGUGGGCGACAUUCCACGUCGUCCGUGCCGCAGCUAACGCAUUAAGU